rnacentral:lncRNA from 1 species
GAGGCGUGGGUUGCAGUGAGCAGAGAUCGCGCCACUGCACUCCAGCCUGAGCGACAGAGUGAGACUCUAUCUCAAAAAAAAAAAAAAAAGAAAAGAAAAAAAGAAAAGAAAUAAAUAAUACAGAGACCUCUUUCGUGUACCUUUUCCCACACAGUGAACAUCUUUCAGAACUGUCGUACAAUAUCAUACCCAGGAUAUUGACACUGGUAUAGCUAAGAUACAGAACGUUUCCACACAGAACUUCUUCUAGCACAGAGAUCCCUCAUCUUGCCUUUGAUGACCAUACCCACUUCACUCCCAUCCCUACUCCCUUCUUAACCCUUGGCAACCUUACUCUGUUCUCCAUUUUUAUAGUUUUUUUUUUUCAAUUUCAAUAAAGCUAUAUAACUGGAAUCAUAAUAUGUAACCUUUUGGGAUUGGCUUUUUUUCAUUUAGCAUGAUUUUCUGGAGAUUAAUCCAGCUUAUUGUGUGUAUCAAGUCUAUUGACAGGUACUUUUUAGUGUGAAUAGAAUCCCUUAGCUUAGAUGUACCACCGUUUGUUUAACUGUUCACCUGCUGAGAGACAUUGGGCCAGUUUUUGGCUACUAUAAAUAAAGUUGCUAUAAAUGUGUGUACAAGUUUUUGUGUGAACAUAAUCUAGUUUUCAGGGUCAAAUACCCAGCAGUUAUAUACUAGUUGGGGCAUAUAGUAGUUGAAUGUUUAGUUUUUAAGAAGUUGCCAAAGUUACAUAGCGUAGCUGUACUAUUUUGUAUACCCACCAGUGGUGUAUGAGUGAUCCAGUUGCUUCAUGUCCUUUUCAGCAUUUGGUGGUAUCUCUACUUUUUAUUUCAGUCAUUCUGAUAGGUGUAUAGUGACAGCUCAUUGCAGUUUUGAUUUGCCAUUUACCCUGUGCUAAUGGCAAUGAUGUUGAGCAUCUUUGUUUCAUAUGCUUAUUUGUCACCUCUCUCUCUUCUUUAGUGACAUGUUUCUUCAUGUCUUUUCUUUCUAAUUGGAUUUUUUCUGUUGAGUUUUGAGGGCUUUUAAAUAAUGUGUGUGUGUCCGUGUGUCUGUGUGUGUGUGUUUUUUUUUUCCAGAUACUAGUCCUUUGUUGGAUGUGUGAUUUGCAAAUAUUUCCUCCCAGUCAGUAGCAUGUCUUUUCAUUUCUCUUUUCUGGGCCUUUCACAGAGCAGAAGUGUUUAAUUUUGAUGAAGUCCACUCUGUCCAUUUUUCUUUUUAUGGAUCAUGCUUCUGGUAUAAAGAACUUUGCCUCUCUCUUUAGAUCCCCAAAAUGUUCUCUUUUAUGUUCUUUUCUAAAUGUAUUAUAGUUUACAUUUUACUUUUCCAUUUUGAGUUAAUUUUGUAUAAAAUGUGAGACUUAGGUCUAGGUUCAUUUUUGUUGUUGUUGCCUAUGGAUAUUCAAUUACCCCAACAUGAUAUUUGUUGUAAAGGCUCUCUUUUCUCCAUUGAAUUGUUUUUGCACCUCUGUCAAAAAUCAGUUGAGCAAAAAUGAGUUAACGAGAAAUCAAUUGGACAUAUUUGUGUGGGUCUUAUCUGGGUUUUCUAUUCUUUUCCAUUAGACUAUGUGUCUAUACCUCCACCAAGACCAGAAUAUUGAUUACCGUGGUAAGUCUUGAAAUCAAAUAGCUGAUUUAUUCCACUUUAUUCUUUUUCAAAAUUGUUUUAGCCACUUAGUUCCUUUGUCUUCCCAUAUAAGUUCUAGAAUAAUCUUGUCUGUAUCUAUUCAAAUAUCUUGCUGGGAUUUUGAUAGGAACUAUGUUAUACCUAUACAUCAAUUUGGGGAGAUUUGACAUCUUUACCGUGUUAAGCCUUCCCAUUCAUGAUCACAGGAUCACUUCACUUCUUUUUAAUUUUGUUUUCUUUACCAUGUUAAGCCUUCCCGUUCAUGAUCAUAGGAUCACUUCACUUCUUUUAAUUUUGUUUUCCUUAAUCAGUAUUGUGUGGUUUUUCAGCAUACAAGUUCUGUACAUUUUUGUUAGAUUUAUACCUAAGCAAUUUAAUGUUUGAGAGAGAUUGCAAAUAGCAUUGUAUUUUGAAUUUCCAUGUUCACAUGUCUGUUCUAAGUAUAUAGAAAUAAAGUGAAUUUUUCUAUUUUGUAUACUGAGACUUUAAUGAGCCCACUUACUCAUUUUAAGGGAUUUUGAUUGAUUCCUGGGACUUUUAUUUUUUUUUUUUAACAUAGACAGUCGUGUCAUCUGCAAAUAAUGAAUAGUUUUAUUUCUUCAUUUCUGACCUGUAUUCCUUUUUUUCCUUUCAUUGCCUUAAAGCAGUGGGUAGAAAUUCCAGCAGAAAUAAGAGCAGCGAGAGUAGAGAUCCUUGACUUGUUUCUGGUCUUAGGAGGAAAGGACUCAGUGUUUCAUCAUGAAGUAUAAUGUUAUCUGUAGGUUUUUAAAGCAGAUGCUUGCUAAAGUUAAGGAAGUUAUCCUUUAUUCCUUUUUUUUCUGCAAAUUUUUAUUAUGAAUUUGUGUUGAAUUGUCAAAUGCUUUUUCUGCAUUAAUUUAUAUAAUCAUGUCAUUUUUCUUCUUUAGCCCAUUAAUGUGGUAGAUACAUUGAUUGCUUUUUGAAUGUUGAACCACUGUUACAUCCUUGAGAUAAACUCCACUUGGUCAUAGGGUAUAUUUGUAUAUAUAGUGUCAUUCUUUUGGCUAAUGUUUUGUUAAGGAUUUUUGCAUCUGUUUUAAUGAGACAUACUGGUUGGUGGUAUCAGGGUAGUACUAGCUUCAAAAUGAACUGGGAAAUAUUCCUUUCUCUUCUGUUUUCUAAUGGAGAUUGUAUAGAAUUGGUGUCAGUGCUUUUUAAAACAUUUGAUAGAACUUUCCAAUGAAAUCAUCUGGGCCUGGAGAUUUUUGGGGAGGGAGUUCUUUUUAUUAUAAUUUCAACUUUUACAACAGUUAUAUGGCUAUUUAAUAUAUCUGUUUCAUAUUGAGUUGUGAUAGUUUGUAUUUUUAGAGGAAUUAGUCCAUUUCAUCUAAGCUGUCAGAUUUAUAUGUAGAGUUUUUGGUUGUACUUUCUGUUAGACUUUUGAUGUCUGAUAUUCCAAAACUCCUUCAUUUAUCAUUUCCUUUCUAUUUAGAGCACUCCUUUAGCCUUAUUAUUAUUAUUGUAGUUCCACUGGCAACAAAUUCUCUUAGUUUUCUUUCAUCUGAAAAUGUCUUGAUUUUCCCUUCAUAUCUGAAGAAUAUUUACACUGGACAUAGACUUGUAGGUUGAUAGUUCUUUUCUUUCAGCACUUGAAAAUUGUUCUGCCGCUUCCAGCCGAGAGAGGUGGCUCACGCCUGUAAUCCCAGCACUUUGGGAAACCGAAGCAGGCAGAUCACUUGAGGUCAGGAGUUAGAGACCAGCCUGGCUAACAUGGCAAACCCCCGCCUCUACUAAAAAUACAAAAACUAGCCAGCAUGGUGGUGCACAUCUGUAAUCCCAGCCAUUUGGGAAGCUGAGGCAGGAGAAUCACUUGAACCUAUAGGCGGAGAUUACAGUGAGCCGAGAUCGCACCACUGUACUCCAGUCUGAGCAACAGAAUGAGACUCCUCAAAAAAAAAAAAAAAAAAGGAAAGAAAAUUUCAUAGUUCCCCAUGAAAAAUCCAGUUUUUUACAUUGUUUUGAUUCCUGUAGAUAGGUGUCAUUUGUCUUUUUUCUUUUUCUUUUUUUCUUUGUGUUUAGUUUUUAACUAUGAUGUAUCUUGUAGAUUUGGGGUUUUAUUAUAUUUGAGGUCUUCUCACCAUCUGUAUGUUUAUGUCUUUUGCCAGAUUUGGGGAGUUUUCAGCCAUCAUUUUUUUCAAGAAUUUUUUCAGUCUUGCCUUCUUUGUUUUAUCUUUGUUUCUUUGUUUUAUCUUCAAAUUUAUUCAUUCUUUCUGCAGUAGCUUCCAUUCUGCUAUUGAGCCUAUCAAUUAAGUGUUUCAUAUUGAUUCCUGCAUUUUUCAGUUUUAAAAUUUCUGGCCCUUUACGGAAAAUGUUGGCUGAUCCCCUGGAGUAUAAACUCAUACUGUAGAAGAGAAGAUCAAGUUAAACAAAAGUUGGUCUCUUUAAAUAAAUACAUAAAGUACACAUAACUUGGUGAAACUGAUCUGGAAAAAAAUAGAAGACAUAAAAAAUUUAGGAAUGAAAAUACAGAUAAAUAACCAAACAUAGAGUUUAAAAUAAUAAGACACUAUAAACAACUUUAUGCCAAUAUAUCACAAAACAGAAAAUGAAUAAUUUAUAUGAAAAAUGCAAAUUACCAAAAUCAACUAAGGUGUAUAUGAUUUCUGCUUCCUGCCAUAUGGUUGACUAGGUAUACUCAAGGAUCCUUCUGCUAAAAUACAACUAGUUCUUGGAUAAAAUACAACACACAUAAUAUUAGUUCAUCUCCUGGCUCAUUAGAAAGAAAGAUAAUCACUAAAGGUUAUUACCAAUGAAAGUGGGCUAAAAUUAAAGUAGUUGAGAAACAGGAAAACUGUGCCUCUGAGACUAAGCCAUGGACUCCAGGCAAAGUAAAGAAAGUGAACCUAAGACUCCUUCAUAAAACCAGGAAUGCUUUAAAGCAUUAAAGUAGUCCUAAGUCAGUGGACUCUGGUGGUUACUCUAAGAAGUGGAUGAAAAUCCCCUCUGAAGGAAAGCCUCCCUAAUUAAUGCUUCUAGAUUAAUCACACAUGCAAGGAAACACACCAUUUGCGUUGAGAAACAGUAGAUUUAGAUAUUCAGGGAAUUCAGGUAUUGCAAUUAGCAGAAGUAGAAUAACAGUUAUAUGUUUAAAUAAAUAAUGUAUGAAUUAAAAUGAACAUGAAAUAAAAGAUAUGUUAAAAGGCAGAUAUUAAAAAGAACCAAAGACAACUUAGUCAUGAAAUUUAAUUCUUGAAAUAUAUAACAUAAUGAAUGGUUUAAGAGCAGAUUCAUCACAACUAAAGGAAUUGUUGACUAUCAAGUUUUAACUGAGGAAACAACAUAUUGCAGCAAAAACAGAUGAAGGGAUAGAAAAUAUGAAUUAGAGAUUACGAGACCUGAAGGAUAAAAUGGGAAGGUUUAGUUUGUGCUAAUUGGAGUCUAAGAAGUAGAAAACAGAAAAAAAUUGAGGUAAUUGCUGACAAAUUUCCAGAGCUAAGAAAAGCUUGGGACCCGGUGUGGUGGCUCAUGCCUGUAAUCACAGCAUUUGGGGAGGCCAAAGCAGAAGGAUCACUUGAAACCAGGAGUUUCAGAUCAAGCUGGGAAAUGAAGCAAGAGCCCCCACUCUAUCUCCAUCUCUGCAAAAAUAAAAAAUAAAAAA